GGCGGUCUGGUAAGUCAGAGGUGAAAUCCCCGGGCUUAACCUGGGAACUGCCUUUGAAACUGGCAGGCUUGAGUCUCGUAGAGGGGGGUAGAAUUCCAGGUGUAGCGGUGAAAUGCGUAGAGAUCUGGGGGAAUACCGGUGGCGAAGGCGGCCCCCUGGACGAAAUUGACGCUCAUGUGCGAAAGCGUGGGGAGCAAACAGGAUUAGAUACCCUGGUAGUCCACGCCGUAAACGAUGUCUACUUGGAGGUUGUUCCCUUGACGAGGGGCUUCCGGAGCUGACGCGUUAACUCCACGGCCAGGGGAGUACCGCCGCUGGGUUAAAACUCAAAUGAAUUGACCGCGGCCCGCCCAAGCAGCGGAGCAUGUGGUUUAAUUCUAUGCAACGAACAUAACCUUACCUACUCUUGACAUCGACCGAAUUUGAAACAGAUGCUUUGGUGCCUUCGGGAACCCUGAGACAGGGGCUGCAUGGCUGUCGUCAGCUCGUGUUGUGAAAUGUUGGGUUAAGUCCCGCCACGAGCUGUUCCCUUAUCCUUUGUUGCCAUCGAUUCGGUCGGGAACUCAAAGGAGACUGCCGGUGAUAAACCGGAGGAAUGUGGGGAUGACAUCAAGUCAUCAUGGCCCUUACGAGUACGGCUACACACGUGCUACAAUGGCACAUACAAAGAGAAGCGACCUCGCGAGAGCAAGCGGACCUCAUCAGUGCGUCGAUAGUCCGGAUCGGAGUCUGCAACUCGACUCCGUGAAGUCGGAAUCGCUAUAAUCGUGUAUCACAGUGCCACGGUGAAUACGUU
rnacentral:rRNA from 1 species